rnacentral:rRNA from 1 species
UACGAAGGGGGCGAGCGUUGUUCGGAAUUACUGGGCGUAAAGGGCGCGUAGGCGGCGAUCCUAGUCAGAUGUGAAAGUCCUGGGCUUAACCUGGGGACUGCAUUUGAUACUGGAUUGCUUGAAUUCGGGAGAGGAUAGCGGAAUUCCCAGUGUAGAGGUGAAAUUCGUAGAUAUUGGGAAGAACACCGGUGGCGAAGGCGGCUAUCUGGACCGACAUUGACGCUGAGGAGUGAAAGCGUGGGGAGCGAACAGG